CAAUGGUCAGAGUCUCAC
rnacentral:snRNA from 1 species